ACAUGCAGUCGAGCGAACUGAUUAGAAGCUUGCUUCUAUGACGUUAGCGGCGGACGGGUGAGUAACACGUGGGCAACCUGCCUGUAAGACUGGGAUAACUUCGGGAAACCGAAGCUAAUACCGGAUAGGAUCUUCUCCUUCAUGGGAGAUGAUUGAAAGAUGGUUUCGGCUAUCACUUACAGAUGGGCCCGCGGUGCAUUAGCUAGUUGGUGAGGUAACGGCUCACCAAGGCAACGAUGCAUAGCCGACCUGAGAGGGUGAUCGGCCACACUGGGACUGAGACACGGCCCAGACUCCUACGGGAGGCAGCAGUAGGGAAUCUUCCGCAAUGGACGAAAGUCUGACGGAGCAACGCCGCGUGAGUGAUGAAGGCUUUCGGGUCGUAAAACUCUGUUGUUAGGGAAGAACAAGUACNAGAGUAACUGCUNGUACCUUGACGGUACCUAACCAGAAAGCCACGGCUAACUACGUGCCAGCAGCCGCGGUAAUACGUAGGUGGCAAGCGUUAUCCGGAAUUAUUGGGCGUAAAGCGCGCGCAGGCGGUUUCUUAAGUCUGAUGUGAAAGCCCACGGCUCAACCGUGGAGGGUCAUUGGAAACUGGGGAACUUGAGUGCAGAAGAGAAAAGCGGAAUUCCACGUGUAGCGGUGAAAUGCGUAGAGAUGUGGAGGAACACCAGUGGCGAAGGCGGCUUUUUGGUCUGUAACUGACGCUGA
rnacentral:rRNA from 1 species